GUGGGGAAUAUUGCACAAUGGGCGAAAGCCUGAUGCAGCGACGCCGCGUGAGCGAAGAAGUAUUUCGGUAUGUAAAGCUCUAUCAGCAGGGAAGAUAAUGACGGUACCUGACUAAGAAGCCCCGGCUAACUACGUGCCAGCAGCCGCGGUAAUACGUAGGGGGCAAGCGUUAUCCGGAUUUACUGGGUGUAAAGGGAGCGUAGACGGCAAGGCAAGUCUGAAGUGAAAGCCCGGUGCUUAACGCCGGGACUGCUUUGGAAACUGUUUGGCUGGAGUGCCGGGGAGGUAAGCGGAAUUCCUAGUGUAGCGGUGAAAUGCGUAGAUAUUAGGAAGAACACCAGUGGCGAAGGCGGCUUACUGGACGGUAACUGACGUUGAGGCUCGAAAGCGUGGGGAGCAAACAGGAUUAGAUACCCUGGUAGUCC
rnacentral:rRNA from 1 species